UCAUAAUUAAGAUAGCUAUCUCUACUCGCAGCAAAUAAAUAUUCUGAAGAAUAGAUAAUAAUUGUUAUUUUUUAUUUGUUUAUAUACAAAACUAUUAAGAACUAAGAACAAACAAUUUAUUAAGUUUGACAGGAUAGUUACUUGAGUAUUAGUAGAUGCUCUCCCCAUUCGUCACAUAUAUUAGAACUAAAUGAAUAAUACUCGUAGCUGCGGCCAGAACACUGCAUUUCAAAUGCCUAACGAAAGCGUGCUUCACCUUAGACCCAUAACGUUCAAGUUAGUUUGCGCUGAUUAGAUCGUUAGACAAUCAAGAACCAACAAUAGUAAUCGCGGAGGAAAGAUAAUGUGUUGCUCGAGAUGAUUUAAUACAAUGUGAAAAUUAUCGUAUGCAAAAAUUACCUAAACAAUUAAAAAUUUCUCAUGAGUUAUAACAGGUGGCGUGUUAAACUGCGAAGGAUAAUUACGUUCAGAUUACACUCGGUGAUAAACAAAUUAUUUUAUUAUUAAUCUAAUUUAUAUUUUAAAUGUGUAAUGUUCUUUGUGUAAACCAAGUUCAGCACGGUUUUUUUUUUUGCAAAUUAUUAUUAAAGUGAAACAUGGCCGGGAGGUUAGUCGAGGGAAUGACUCGUCAGAGCAUAACAGAAAAUUCAACGCUUUGGAGUGGGGCGCUCGAUUGUUGAAAUGAGAGGGAGAGGUUGUACUUACAAAUAAAGUAGAGAAUCAGAGAAACGUAAGACUCUUAGCACGAUUUUCAUCGCUUUAAAUCCGUACAACACAUGAAUAUAGUUAUUUUUGCAUAUAUAAAAUAUGUCUUUCGAGAUUGGCACAUAAUUUAAAAUUUUAAUUUAUAAUUCAUUCAACCAUAAUUUUAUUAAAUCAUGAAAAAUAUAAUUGAAUAUUCAAUAACUAGACUUUAUUUUGCUUUAUUAUGCUUAAUAAUGUGUGCAGUUAAUACUGUAAAGAUAUCCAGGGAACGGUUUAGAUAUAACUUUAACUAUUGGACAACUAUGGGACAACACAAAGCAUAAAUGCCCGGGUAAGAAUACGAACCCAGGUUUUUCAAAUAUUUCAUUUUACUUAAACAUUUCUGUUCAUUUUCAUAAAAAAAUUACAGUGCUAUUAAAUUACACUUCUAACGCGGAAGUAGAUCAUGCAAAUUUUUGUUAGUAUUAUUUGUAACAAUAUUUUCAAACCCGUCUUUUUUAAGGUUUCGCCAGUUGAAACCGUGGGCGAAUUUAUGUUUUGUUUGUCUAAUACACACACAUACAGAAUUAGUCAGAAUUCUACCGACAAACUUCAGCUGCAAGUAAAUUAAGAAGAGAUUAAUUGAAAACGUAUCUAUGAAUUAUUCUUUUAAGUCCCAAGGCUGGUACGCGCUUUUAAAUUUAGAAAUGUACAACUUUUUUGAUCAAAAUAAUAAAGUAUUUAAGAUGUAAUACCGUCCAUCUGGAUAAUUUUCAAUGGAUCAAAUGUCUACAAUAAAAGCAAGCUUUGUUGCUGUCGUAAAAUAGUUUCUUUUAAAUUAUUGUGGACAAAGAAAAAUUAGACAAAUAAAUGGGGAAAAAAAGUUGUUACCCCAAUUAUUUCGAUGAAAUCAUUCUACGAAAGCCACAGAUUUUGGCGUGAUUUGUAGAACUUUGUUUGAAUUAAAAAAUACACUCAGUGGUAAUAAAUGCAAACACUUGUGUUGCCAUUUACACCAAUUGUAUUACACUUAAUGAUUAUCUGUUGUAAAUAUUAUCGACUGAAUAGUAAAUACAAAAGAAUAUCGUGUUAGAAUUAUAUAGAGCCAUUAAAUAAUCGUAAUAAUAAUUUUAAAAAUCAUAGUCUUAAAAAUUUAAGACUACAGUUUGGACUUAUCCUUUUAACUAUAGGGAUUGGGAAGUUAUGAAACUUAAUGUUUUGUAAAAGAAACAUAGCCAGGAUUACACAAGCAGACAUUUCCCGUUAGCAGAGCGUUAACUUAAUUACAUUUUGGUAAUUUUGUCACUUAUUCUAUUAUUUUCAAGCAGCCUAUAAUAAAUACAUUUCAUUCAUCAGUUAAUUCGAUUUAAAAAUACGUAAAUAAAUAUUUUGGGUGAAGUGACGGUUUUACUUUAUGAUUGUUACCGUCUUGUUGUAUCAUGUGGAUAGCCACGCAUUUGGCCUCGACAACUAGAAGUAAAACACUCUUGGAUUUACAAUUGCAAAAAAACUAAAACGUAAAGUUAAAGUCAAGAGGUCAGAUUUCGAGAGAACCAAUCGGUGCCUAGCAAGCAGAUUUUUUUCCCCCUACAUUUGGUGGAGAACAUUAUGUAAUUCUUGUUUACAAGUAAAUUGUUUCAGAAAUUAACAGGAAUAUUGUCUAGGGGGUUUUUUUUUUUAAAAAAUCGUACAAUGGAGUGUGUUAGAAUACUGAAGGUAUAACUAAAAUAUAAGUUUUUUGUGUAAAAUUGGUUGCAGUUAUGGCGGUAUCAGUCUAUGUAGUGGAUCACUAUUCUAAAGUUUAUGCCACUCUGGGUGGUGAUUGGUUGGCUUGACAAACCGUAACUUUAUAAAUACGGAUGCUAGAAGUUUGUUUAAUACUUGAAAAGAACUCGCUAGAAAUAAUCGAAAAUAUCCCAUCGUUAAAUAAGUGUGCUAAACAAAGAUGAUAGCAAAAAUCAACAAAGAAUUCGCGUUAAAUUUCAUUAAAACAAAAAACAAAAUAUUUUGAUGUCCAGGUUGGGGUCCAUUAUAAAUUUUGAGAUCAAUUAUUAACAUGAAAAAGAUUGCACGCACCAAAUAUCUAGUUUCUUACUUCCAUUGAGUUAGGUCGCACGUCUUAAAUUUACCAUCGAGCCAAUGCCUUUUAGGUUGAGAAUCGACUAACCUGUUCGAUAAGCAAAGAACAGCGACCGCGCAGUAGAAAGUGAAUUAUGAACCUCUUGUUGACUUCCCUUUCAGACAAUACAGCAAAUUAGCUGUUCGGUCAAUGGAACAACAACUAAUUAGAAGGUUUGGGAGGGGAGUGGGUGAUGGAGUAUCUCCUUGUUUACGCCAGAAGUCUUUGGAAUAAAUAAGGAAAAACGUGGUUGUAGAAAGAACAAGGAUUAAAUGGGUAGGAUGGAGGCUUAAGCUGCCACACUGCCAAACACGCACAAAGUAAAUUAGUGACUGUCGCGGUGUUUAUUUUCCCACUUUUGUUUUGCCUGUUGACGAUAGUGAAAAAGAAAAACGAAAGCGGAAGGAAAACUUGAAAAAAAAAAAAACAUAAUCUCAAAUGUAUCGAGAACACGAUGGUUCCAAAAAGAUAUGUUAUUUUUCCGGAAAAGUAUUUUUAGAGAAAUUUUCCUGUAAUUUAUCGGAAAAUAUUCUGCAAAUCAAGAAAAAAAUCCAACGAUUGAUACUUUCGAAGAAACACACAAUUCUUUUUUUAUUGUUUUUAUAAAAACAAAACCAAAUAAAACAUACAUUUUGUUUCUCUUUACCACGUAAUCGCUCACUUUAUAUUGUCGCGGGUUGAAAUUUUGCAGGGUUGUUGAAAUCAAAUUUAGGGACUUUACUGACGGGACUCUGGGCUGGCUGCUCUGUUCACUCGUCAGCGCAAGUGGCGUGACCAAGUAAUUGGGGCACGGGGCCGGCGCGGCGCGCUGCGGGCUUGCAGAAUUUUGUUUGUUUGUUUGGCCGCACGCUGGCGCAGCCACGGGCCGCAGUUACUGGGGCGCGCUGUCGUAACAAGCCGCGCGGUGUGGCCUGCACAUUGGGGUAGAGGGGGGGUAGUCUUCCCAGAUGUUCUAGUUAGUUGUUUAGUAAAUUUGACUUCAAUAACGAGCUUUUGUUAUGGUAGGCGCGGCAGGGCGCGCGAAUUUAAGCGCAAGUGAUUGGUGACUCGGGGCUCACUCAGGCGGAGGCUAUGCGUCUCACCUGUGGUCACGAGUUGUUAGUUCGUUCGUGAUGUAGGAAUUCAGGCUCACUCAGGCGGAGGCUAUGCGUCUCACCUGUGGUCACGAGUUGUUAGUUCGUUCGUGAUGUAGGAAUUCAAGCUUUCGGGCGGAAGCUAUGGCCGACGCCAGAGGCCACGAGUCGUUUAAUUUAAGUUAGGUCAUAAUGUAGUCAUCUUCAAGCUUUCGGGCGGAGGCAAUGGUCGACGCCAGAGGCCACGAGUCGUUUAAUUUAAGUUAGGUCAUAAUGUAGUCGUCAAGCUUUCGGGCGGAGGCUAUGGCCCUCGUCAGGGGUCACGCGUCAUAGUUUUUAAAAUGUAAUGUUCGUUCGGGAUUUCAAGGGCAGGAGAGGCCCCUACGUUAUUUUUUUAAAGUAAUCGAUCAAGAAAGGCUUUUCGGAAAAUGUGAGUAUGGACUUAUCUUUGUUUCAAUUUUAAGUAUUAAUUAUGAUUUGAGGUAUUCGGAAGGACUAGGGAAGUGUUUAGUGAAGUUCUCUCAUUCUCUCUCUUGUAAGGUCGUUCAAUCGUUAAGGAAGUAAAGAGAUUAUUGUUUUAAAUUGUAAUCCCGCUAUUUAAAUGUUCUUUAAAAUGAUGUUGAGUAUUUGACUUUAAGAAUAAAAUAAUUUUAAUUAAGUAUUAUGUUAUUUUGCAAAAUCUCCUUAGUUCAGCUCUCACCAGACAUCCUGUACGGGAUGACGAACCUAUGAUCCUAGGUACAGUAAAGUAUUUUAUGAAGUUAAGACUAGUUGAUGCCAAGCGAGUUGUUUCUAUGUAAAGAGCUACGAUUCUCUCCCCCCUCUGAAGGUGCACGUGACAGAAAUGGUAGAGUUCGCCGGAUAGGUUCUAUUUCUGGAGAGAGAGAGAGGUAGAUUUUUAUGUUUAUUAUUAAGUUAGUUUCAGCUUCUGAUAGCAGGUUAUUAAGAGUUUACUUGAGGAGAGGAUUACGGAAUUUUAGUCUAUAGUGGAGGAAGUCUUUGAGAUUUUUUUUUUGACGUAACAGAUGUUUAUUUGAGGAUACUUGUAAGGAUAAAGUUUAUAGUGAUAAGUUGUUUUAAGUCGUUGAGUUUAUCAGGGAUUUUUACGUGAGGAGAAUACGUUAUAAUUUAAAUGAUUAAUAGAGAUAAUGCAAGUGGUUUAAUUUAAUUGAAAUUAAUUUUAAGAUUGUAGGUUAAGAGAGUUAAAAUUUAAAAUAAAGUUUUUUUCGUAAAUAGGAAUUAUUUUCAAGAGAAGUUUGUUUUGUUUUCGUGCGCGUAGGAGACGAGACGUACGAAUUAAAUCAGUCGAGGAAAGGAUAAACGUUAGAAAGGAAUUAAAGAGAAAACGAGAGUUUAUGUAAAAGAGAGUUAUAGAAUUUAUAGUGAUGUUUUGUUUUAAUUAGAAAAAUGUUGAGAGUUGUUUCAGAACGACACGUCAGUGGACGUGGCAGAGUGAACACGUGACGGGGAGGUGCUGAGACCUAGCGGAGAACGGAGGAACCGCAAGCGAGGGUUGGCGCACCUGAUGGAAUUCGGUGACGUCACGGGCUCAUACGGAGACGUGGACAGGCCGUGACCUUGUUUUGAUCAGCUGUACGGUAACUUAACGAUAAGAAAAUAGACUAUUGGUUAAAUAAAUUUAAAUUUAAGUGUGUUUUAGGAGAAGAGGAACUUUCAGUAUAUUCCUUAAGAUGAGCUGAGCAGCAGUCCAGUUUACAAGAUGACAAGAGUUCGAGAGACAAGAUACAAGAUCACUGAAACAAGAGCCAAGACUGAAGAUUCAAGAGAAGAGAAAGCUGGCAGCCAUGGACUUACAAGUGGAGAUUAAUAAGGUCAUGUAAAGUUUUAUUUUUUUUUAUGGAAGACAGUAACUGGAGUUUUUUUUUGUUAUAAACAUUAUUUACAGAACUUUUUAGGUUAUAGUAAUGUAAUGGAACUAGUGAGUUGUGGUAGCUGUCAAAAAGAACUAAUACCUUAAGUUUAAUUUUUAAAGUUAAUUUUCUUAAUUUACAGAGGGAUUAGUAGUUUUUUUUAAACCUUAUUUAGGUUGGAAUUUAAAUACAAUAGCUUAUUAUAAAUGUGUACGAACAGUUCAAGUUCACAGUACUGAUAGGUAGGUCAGAUGAUCUUAUUGAUUUUGAUGAUUUGUUGUUUUGAGUUGAUUUUUAAGUGUUGUGAAUUAGACAAUGAAAUAGUUCUGAAAACUUAAAUUAUUUCAAGCUAAGAAAUAGUAAAGUUAAUUGUAACUCAAAGGACACCAGAAUUUAAUUUUUUUUUGAAUUAGUAAUGUUUGAAAAUUUUAUACUUUACAAGAAAGGUUAUAAACAAACAGAUCGGAUGGAACAAGGAUGCAGUAAAUCACAAUUUCAUUUAGAAUUAUUGAUUAGCUUUUGAGGUUAUGAAGUAAAAGUAAUUAUAGUUUAAAAGUUUGAAUAAAAAAAAAUGUUUUUUUUUUAAUUUGUUUGAAAUAGAAAGUUUAAAAGUUAAUUAGUCAUGAUCUAGGUGGGUGAUGGGGUGGGAAUUGGCCACUCUUUUUCCCUAUAACCUCCCUAACAUGGCCUUCUAUUACAACUAACAGAAAUAAAGAAGAAGAAAAAUGAAGAAUUAUUAGUUAGAAUGUUUCUUUCAUGAAGAUACCUGAUGAACUUUUACUGUUUGGAAGAAUAGAAGCAAGAUUAAUCAGAUGUUUUACUCAGAAGAAGAAGAAGAAGAAGAUAAAGCAGUUUUAUGACUCGACAAGCCAGAGAUUGGUGUUUCCCCUCUGCGCUUCUAUUGACUACGUUGUUUACUCUCAUGGGAUAGCUGGUUCGGCACCAUGGAGAGAGAUUGGUGGGCAUUGUGGUUGCCCCCAGAAGAAAAGAAGAGUAGAAGAGGUUAUGGGUGGGUCAUGUGAACUGACCUUCAACCCAGUUACUUCGUGGGGACUAUUUGCUGUAUAGAGAAGAUCAAGACUCAAGAGUUAGGGAAAAUCAUUGGAGGUCAUGUUUCCCUUCCUUAAGUUUUUCCUAUCAAAUUAUUUGCCUGAUUAGAUUAUGCUAAGGGUGGGAUACUUUAUGUUAGCAGUUGAAUUAAUUAAUUUUAUUUUUUUGUGUGUUUGCAUCCUUGCCCAUCGAUUGCAGUUUAGUAGUUAGUUUUGUAUUUGUCAGGCGUGAUGGUAAUGCCUGUUGAUGAUGUUUCAGAAUUGUAAUCUGUUCGUGAUGAGGAUGGCACAACUCCGAAGCAGAUGUGGGGAGAAGUUGUGAGCUGCCCUGGAAGCCAGUCCAGUAGCUGUUGGAGUUGAGUGGUGUUUGCUGAUGGCCAGCCCAGGGAGCUACUCUUCUCGACAACACUGACUUCGAGGAGUUGCACCAACCUUCACGAGAUAAGAGUUUAAUUAAUUGAAACACUGUAAGGACACUUAAUUUUUUUUGAAGAACGAAAGAAGUAUGGUAAUAAACGGAAACUGAAAAAAAAAAAAAUAAUAAUUAUCAAGAAUUUGCACAUUGUUUAACGAAUACUGAGAAACUAAGAACAGUAAUUUAAUUUGUAAAGAGAGCUUCACUAACAGAACAAUUUUUUUAGAAUUGAGAACUCGAGCCUCUGAAGGUUCCUGUGAGAACAAACCAGAUAAAAGUUUUACAUUUAAUUUUAUGAAUACUUGUUGUUUUAAAAUAAAUCUUAUGCAGAAUCUAGAUGUAUGUUCAGACAGCAAGGAACUAAGAAAAUUAUUAUUUUUGUGAAAUGAGGAAUUUAUAGUUAUGGUUUAAUGGAAAAAGACAAUUUGUAAUUUUGAGGUAGCUCGAUGGGGCUCGAGCUCUGUGAGGGGAGGGUUAUGUCGCGGGUUGAAAUUUUGCAGGGUUGUUGAAAUCAAAUUUAGGGACUUUACUGACGGGACUCUGGGCUGGCUGCUCUGUUCACUCGUCAGCGCAAGUGGCGUGACCAAGUAAUUGGGGCACGGGGCCGGCGCGGCGCGCUGCGGGCUUGCAGAAUUUUGUUUGUUUGUUUGGCCGCACGCUGGCGCAGCCACGGGCCGCAGUUACUGGGGCGCGCUGUCGUAACAAGCCGCGCGGUGUGGCCUGCACAUUGGGGUAGAGGGGGGGUAGUCUUCCCAGAUGUUCUAGUUAGUUGUUUAGUAAAUUUGACUUCAAUAACGAGCUUUUGUUAUGGUAGGCGCGGCAGGGCGCGCGAAUUUAAGCGCAAGUGAUUGGUGACUCGGGGCUCACUCAGGCGGAGGCUAUGCGUCUCACCUGUGGUCACGAGUUGUUAGUUCGUUCGUGAUGUAGGAAUUCAGGCUCACUCAGGCGGAGGCUAUGCGUCUCACCUGUGGUCACGAGUUGUUAGUUCGUUCGUGAUGUAGGAAUUCAAGCUUUCGGGCGGAAGCUAUGGCCGACGCCAGAGGCCACGAGUCGUUUAAUUUAAGUUAGGUCAUAAUGUAGUCAUCUUCAAGCUUUCGGGCGGAGGCAAUGGUCGACGCCAGAGGCCACGAGUCGUUUAAUUUAAGUUAGGUCAUAAUGUAGUCGUCAAGCUUUCGGGCGGAGGCUAUGGCCCUCGUCAGGGGUCACGCGUCAUAGUUUUUAAAAUGUAAUGUUCGUUCGGGAUUUCAAGGGCAGGAGAGGCCCCUACGUUAUUUUUUUAAAGUAAUCGAUCAAGAAAGGCUUUUCGGAAAAUGUGAGUAUGGACUUAUCUUUGUUUUAAUUUUAAGUAUUAAUUAUGAUUUGAGGUAUUCGGAAGGACUAGGGAAGUGUUUAGUGAAGUUCUCUCAUUCUCUCUCUUGUAAGGUCGUUCAAUCGUUAAGGAAGUAAAGAGAUUAUUGUUUUAAAUUGUAAUCCCGCUAUUUAAAUGUUCUUUAAAAUGAUGUUGAGUAUUUGACUUUAAGAAUAAAAUAAUUUUAAUUAAGUAUUAUGUUAUUUUGCAAAAUCUCCUUAGUUCAGCUCUCACCAGACAUCCUGUACGGGAUGACGAACCUAUGAUCCUAGGUACAGUAAAGUAUUUUAUGAAGUUAAGACUAGUUGAUGCCAAGCGAGUUGUUUCUAUGUAAAGAGCUACGAUUCUCUCCCCCCUCUGAAGGUGCACGUGACAAUAUUAGAGAGCUGGUUGAGACCCUUGCUAACGUUUUACCAAUUGAUGGAAACAGUUUUAGUUUAAAUAUUAACUACCAAUAUGCAGAAAAUAAAUGCGUGUUUCAAAUAUAUUGAUCUAUCUUUAAUCAUGUAAAUCUAUAUUGGUAAUGAAUAACAUAAGAACAUUUUCCUCAAAGUUUUUCCACUACCAUCUCUAGAUACAAAUUAUCCAGGAAUCUUCGUAAAUUAACAGUUAAUGAGUUAAAUUACUUUGAAACAGACGCGAUAAGAAAUAUUUUAGAGUAGCAAUAAAAAAAACAUCGAAAGCUUUAGUUUUAAAAAAUCACUGUGUUCCUUACAUGUGUGUGUUCGCUCUGUUCGUAGCGGAACACAUUACUCUUUAAGUCGGAAUAUGGGCAAUUUUCUAAGAACAUUAACUUAUGUUGAUCUGCGGAGAACCCUAGUAUUAUUCUAUUCGUACUUUUGUUAUAUAAGGUAGUAGUAAUUAUUUGCUUAUCAGAUUAAAUGUUGAAGCAUUUUAUAAUUUUUAUAAAUACUUCAUGAAUUAAAGUAGACGCAAAGCAACAAAAUGGUUUUUUUUUUGGCAUUCUGUUUAGCAUGACUAAUAGUUUAUAUAUUUUUGAAACUUUGAAUAGUGACAAUGAUAAAUUGAAUUAUUUACUUUGUUCUGAAUUAUAAAUUUAAACAAAGUGUAAUACCAAAUAAAAGCACGAAAUUGGUUGUGCUAAAGCUUAUGAUACUAAUUCGUUUGGAAGGGUUUCUUUACUUAUUUACCAAGACUGUUAUAUUUUUAUACGUACCAUAUCACAGACAAUAAAGUAUGUUUGUUUUCGUUAAUAUAUAUUUUUUAACAAAUAAAGAUUUUGUCGUGCAGUUCA